GGCGGGCACUCGCCCGGUGCCCCGCCAAAAGCUGGCGGGACGAGCGCGCACUACAAAUACCAGAAACCCCCGCUUCCUAGAGCUCCCGCCGCGUCGCGCAACGCACGCCGGGAGCCGGCCCGAGCCGCCAAGAUGUCGCAGCCCAAGAGAAGAAAGCUUGAGUCGGGGGGCGGCGGCGAAGGAGGGGAGGGAACUGAAGAGGAAGAUGGCGGAGAGCUGGAGGUGGCCCUGCCACGACCCCGGAGGACUAGGCGGGAGCGAGACCAGCUGUACUACCAGUGCUACUCGGAUGUAUCGGUCCACGAGGAGAUGAUUGCCGACCGCGUCCGCACCGAUGCCUACCGCCUGGGCAUUCUGCGGAACUGGGCAGCGCUGCGGGGCAAGACUGUGCUGGACGUGGGCGCGGGCACGGGCAUUCUCAGCAUCUUCUGUGCCCAGGCCGGGGCCCGGCGCGUGUACGCGGUGGAGGCCAGCGACAUCUGGCAACAGGCCCGGGAGGUGGUGCGGCUCAACGGGCUGGAGGACCGGGUGCACGUCCUGCCGGGGCCAGUGGAGACGGUGGAGUUGCCGGAGCAGGUGGAUGCCAUCGUGAGCGAGUGGAUGGGCUGCGGACUCCUGCACGAGUCCAUGCUGAGCUCUGUGCUCCACGCGCGGACCAAGUGGCUGAAGGAGGGCGGUCUUCUACUGCCGGCUUCCGCCGAGCUCUUCGUGGCGCCCAUCAGCGACCAGAUGCUGGAGUUGCGCCUAAGCUUCUGGAGCCAGAUGAAGCAGCUCUACGGUGUGGACAUGAGCUGCCUGGAGAGCUUCGCCACGCGCUGCCUCAUGGGCCACUCAGAAAUCGUGGUGCAAGGCCUGUCCGGCGAGGAUGUGCUGGCCCGGCCGCAGUGCUUUGCUCAGCUGGAGCUGGCCCGCGCCGGCCUGGAGCAGGAGCUGGAAGCGGGGGUGGGUGGGCGCUUCCGCUUCAGCUGCUACGGCUCGGCUCACAUGCACGGCUUUGCCAUCUGGUUCCAGGUGACCUUCCCCGGAGGGGACUCGGAGAAACCCCUGGUGCUGUCCACCUCGCCUUUUCACCCAGUCACGCACUGGAAGCAGGCACUCCUCUACCUGAACGAGCCUGUGCAAGUGGAGCAAGAUACGGACGUUUCCGGAGAGAUCACGCUGCUGCCCUCCCAGGACAACCACCGUCACCUACGCGUGCUGCUGCGCUACAAAGUGGGCGACCAGGAGGAAAAGACCAAAGACUUUGCCAUGGAGGACUGAGCGUGGCUUUCUCUCCCAGCUACCUCCCGAGGCGGCCAGACCUGCGCGGUAGAGGCGGAGGGGGGUCGGAGGAGAAAGGGAAAUCUCACGUGCAAGUGUUGUUUGACAGUACGAGCAUGGCCGUAUAUGACGAGCAAUGUAUGACACUGGAUACCAGAUGAGCCAAAGGAGCCUAAGCCCUGAAGUGAGGAUUAUUCCAGAAGGAUGAGGUUGUGAGAUGCACCAACAUUCAGGCACUGUCCAAGCUCUGUAUGAACUGGUACUGAUUGCUUAGGGUCAUUUGGGUCACAGGAAGAAACUACCAGCCCUAAGGAGAGAAAAACAUGGUGAAGUCCUACCUGCUUUCCUCAAAGAGCUUACAUUUAUUUAGCACUGUGAAACUUUCCAGAUAUUUUCAUUAACUCACUGGGCCAAUGGACAUUUUAUUCGGUAUACAAUAUAAUAGUCAUUGUGAUAAGUGCUUAGGAUAUAAACCAGUAAAACAUAGUUUCUCCUUCAAAUAGGUAUGUUCACAGGAUAAACCAGAAAGUAAAAUAAACAAAAAAUAAUGGGCAAAAGACUGGGUGGUGUAGGUGUUAGGGAGGGCAAGUAAUUAUCUUCACCUUACAUACUAGGAAAAAGGAGUUACACAGAUUUGGAAGGAUUUAGCCUAAGGUUAUAUAACUAAUUCUUGACAGUUUAACACAAGUCUUUCGAUUCCUAACCCACAAAAGACCCCUUAGAUUAAGGAAGUCUCCCUGGAGACCUGUCUCACAGGCCUCAAAGAGCCACCACCUUCAGUAUAUAGGAUCUUCACGUUGACAAAUACUAGGCACUCACGAAGCAUUCCCUGUUCCCAUUCCCCUAACAGAACUAAUCAAAUGUGGCACUUUCUGAGGCUCCCCCAGGGGACUGAAUCCUCAACAUAGUAGCAAAGGUAGACAAACUCUGCCAUUCUACUUGGUGCUUGAUGCUGGACAGCAGAGAGACAUCUGACCAGGCGGUCA